rnacentral:rRNA from 1 species
AUUGAACGCUGGCGGCAGGCUUAACACAUGCAAGUCGAGCGGGGUGAUGGUGCUUGCACUAUCACUUAGCGGCGGACGGGUGAGUAAUGCUUAGGAAUCUGCCUAUUAGUGGGGGACAACAUCUCGAAAGGGAUGCUAAUACCGCAUACGUCCUACGGGAGAAAGCAGGGGAUCACUUGUGACCUUGCGCUAAUAGAUGAGCCUAAGUCGGAUUAGCUAGUUGGUGGGGUAAAGGCCUACCAAGGCGACGAUCUGUAGCGGGUCUGAGAGGAUGAUCCGCCACACUGGGACUGAGACACGGCCCAGACUCCUACGGGAGGCAGCAGUGGGGAAUAUUGGACAAUGGGGGGAACCCUGAUCCAGCCAUGCCGCGUGUGUGAAGAAGGCCUUAUGGUUGUAAAGCACUUUAAGCGAGGAGGAGGCUCUUUUGGUUAAUAUCCAAGAUGAGUGGACGUUACUCGCAGAAUAAGCACCGACUAACUCUGUGCCAGCAGCCGCGGUAA